rnacentral:rRNA from 1 species
UUACAAUGGCAGGUACAGCGGGAUGCCAUGGGGCGACCCAGAGCGGAACCCGAAAACCUGUCUCAGUUCGGAUUGGAGUCUGCAACCCGACUCCAUGAAGCUGGAUUCGCUAGUAAUCGCGCAUCAGCCACGGCGCGGUGAAUACGUUCCCGGGCCUUGUACACACCGCCCGUCAAGCCAUGGGAGCCGGGGGUGCCUGAAGGCCGUGACCGCGAGGGGCGGCCUAGGGUAAAACUGGUGACUGGGGCUAAGUCGUAACAAGGUACC